rnacentral:rRNA from 1 species
GUUCCUUCGGGAACGGCUUAGCGGCGGACGGGUGAGUAACACGUAGGCAACCUGCCCGCAAGUCCGGGAUAACUCACGGAAACGUGAGCUAAUACCGGGUAAUCGGCCCCCUCGCCUGAGGGAGCCGUGAAAGGCGCUUCGGCGCCGCUUGCGGAUGGGCCUGCGGCGCAUUAGCUGGUUGGCGGGGUAACGGCCCACCAAGGCGACGAUGCGUAGCCGACCUGAGAGGGUGAUCGGCCACACUGGGACUGAGACACGGCCCAGACUCCUACGGGAGGCAGCAGUAGGGAAUCUUCGGCAAUGGGGGAAACCCUGACCGAGCAACGCCGCGUGAGUGAGGAAGGUCUUCGGAUCGUAAAGCUCUGUUGCCAGGGAAGAAC